rnacentral:miRNA from 1 species
UAGGAUGACCAAACGUCCUGGUUUGCCUGGGACUGUGGGAUUUCCUGGAGUGUAGGCCUUUCAGCGUUCAAACCUG